rnacentral:lncRNA from 1 species
CUGGAUCAAAGGGCCAUGUAGUCCAGGGGCUGUCUUCAAGAUGGUUUUUGUGUUGGAUAUCCAGGCAAGAAUAAGUCCAGAUCUGGUAAAUGUAAUACUUCCCCAAUGUUCUCCUACCUGUUUUGACUCCGAAACCAAAUGUGGUUUCUGUGUGUUUGCUGAUGAAUUUAAUCUCCAUAAAAUUCUGUACUUGUUGCAUUCAGCAACAACGAUGUUAGCCACCUGUGUUAGGCCUCUGUGCACCCUGAUCGAUAUCUUGAUCAGGGCCAAGUGACUGCCGGCACGCACCAAUAUGAUGAGCAGCAAAAUGGCAUUUAUUCACUACGAAACACAGCUUAUAUACAUUUUACCUACAAAACCGUGCUGUCAUGUCCCACUCUGAUUGGUUCAC